rnacentral:rRNA from 1 species
CCUACGGGAGGCAGCAGCUAAGAAUAUUCCACAAUGGACGAAAGUCUGAUGGAGCGACACCGCGUGGAUGACGAAGGCCGAAAGGUUGUAAAAUCCUUUUAAACUGGAAGAAUAAUCAUGGUAGGGAAUGACCGUGAGGUGACCGUACAGUUUGAAUAAGCAACGGCUAAUUACGUGCCAGCAGCCGCGGUAAU